rnacentral:rRNA from 1 species
GACGAACGCUGGCGGCGUGCUUAACACAUGCAAGUCGAGCGGAGCGGCGAACGGGUGAGUAACGCGUGAGUAACUGCCCCCCUCUCUGGGAUAACAGUUGGAAACGGCUUCUAAUACCGGAUAGUGGGGGAUGACUCGCGUCCUAUCAGCUUGUUGGUGGGGUAGUGGCAUACCAAGGCGACGACGGGUAGCCGGCCUGAGCGGGGGACCAGCCACAUUGGGCUGAGAUACGGCCCAAACUCCUACGGGAGGCAGCAGGGGGGAAUAGUGCACAAUGGGGGAAACCCUGAUGCAGCAACGCCGCGUGCGGGAUGACGGCCGUCGGGUGGUAAACCGCUUUCAGCCAUGACGCGGUAGUGGCAGAAGAAGCACCGGCUAACUACGUGCCAGCAGCCGCGGUAAUUC